rnacentral:rRNA from 1 species
GAUGAACGCUGGCGGCGUGCCUAAUACAUGCAAGUCGAGCGAACAGACGAGGAGCUUGCUCCUCUGACGUUAGCGGCGGACGGGUGAGUAACACGUGGAUAACCUACCUAUAAGACUGGGAUAACUUCGGGAAACCGGAGCUAAUACCGGAUAAUAUAUUGAACCGCAUGGUUCAAUAGUGAAAGACGGUUUUGCUGUCACUUAUAGAUGGAUCCGCGCCGCAUUAGCUAGUUGGUAGGGUAACGGCUUACCAAGGCAACGAUGCGUAGCCGACCUGAGAGGGUGAUCGGCCACACAGGAGCUGAGACACGGUCCAGACGCCUACGGGAGGCAGCAGUAGGGAAUCUUCCGCAAUGGGCGAAAGCCUGACGGAGCAACGCCGCGUGAGUGAUGAAGGUCUUCGGAUCGUAAAACUCUGUUAUGAGGGAAGAACAAAUGUGUAAGUAACGAUGCACGUCUUGACGGUACCUAAGCAGAAAGCCACGGCUAACUACGU